rnacentral:rRNA from 1 species
GACGAACGCUGGCGGCGUGCCUAAUACAUGCAAGUAGAACGCUGAAGGAGGAGCUUGCUUCUCUGGAUGAGUUGCGAACGGGUGAGUAACGCGUAGGUAACCUGCCUGGUAGCGGGGGAUAACUAUUGGAAACGAUAGCUAAUACCGCAUAAUAGUAGAUGUUGCAUGACAUUUGCUUAAAAGGUGCAAUUGCAUCACUACCAGAUGGACCUGCGUUGUAUUAGCUAGUUGGUGGGGUAACGGCUCACCAAGGCGACGAUACAUAGCCGACCUGAGAGGGUGAUCGGCCACACUGGGACUGAGACACGGCCCAGACUCCUACGGGAGGCGGCAGUAGGGAAUCUUCGGCAAUGGACGGAAGUCUGACCGAGCAACGCCGCGUGAGUGAAGAAGGUUUUCGGAUCGUAAAGCUCUGUUGUAAGAGAAGAACGAGUGUGAGAGUGGAAAGUUCACACUGUGACGGUAUCUUACCAGAAAGGGACGGCUAACUACGUG